rnacentral:rRNA from 1 species
CCUACGAGAGGCAGCAGUAGGGAAUAUUGCUCAAUGGGGGAAACCCAGAUGCAGCGACGCCGCGUGAGUGAAGAAGUAAUACGUUAUGUAAAGCUCUAUCAGCAGGGAAGAAAAUGACGGUACCUGAGUAAGAAGCCCCGGCUAACUAAGUGCCAGCAGCCGCUGUAAUACGUAGGGGGCAAGCGUUAUCCGGAUUUACUGGGUGGAAAGGGGGCGUAGACGGCAGUGCAAGGCUGGAGUGAAAGGCGGGGGCUCAACCCCCGGACUGCUCUGGAAACUGUACGGCUGGAGUGCAGGAGGGGUAAGUGGAAUUCCUAGUGUAGCGGUGCAAUGCGUAGAUAUUAGGAGGAACACCAGUGGCGAAGGCGGCUUACUGGACUGUAACUGACGUUGAGGCUCGAAAGCGUGGGGAGCAAACAGGAUUAGAUACCCUUGUAGUC